AAUAAUUAUGAGUGCAGCCGGUAGUAGCAGGGACAGGGACAAGGGGCGUAAAUACCCCUCCGGAGCUCAGAAGAGAAAGGUGAAAGCAGACCGUCAUGAAAUACCCCUCCGGAGCUCAGAAGAGAAAGGUGAACGCAGACCGUCAUGAAAUACCCCUCUGGAGCUCAGAAGAGAAAGGUGAACGCAGACCGUCAUGAAAUACCCCUCUGGAGCUCAGAAGAGAAAGGUGAAAGCAGACCGUCAUGAAAUACCCCUCUGGAGCUCAGAAGAGAAAGGUGAAAGCAGACCGUCAUGAAAUACCCCUCUGGAGCUCAAAAGAGACAGGUGAACGCAGACCGUCCUGAAAUACUCCUCCGGAGCUCAGAAGAGAAAGGUGAAAGCAGACCGUCCUGCAAUGCAGAAAAGCCAGGAAAAUGCAAUGUUAAAGUUUGUGAAGUUGGACCAAGGAGCUAGCAAAUCAGAAGCUGAUCUUCUGUUGGUUACAAAGAAACCCAGAAAUGGCUGCCUGAGGAUGAGAGCCUCUGUCAAGACACACGCUAAUCUUUUAAACUUAAGGGCUGCUGAACCAGGAGGACACCAGAGGUACUGUCCGAAAUAGAGUGUGGGAAGAGUGCUGAAAUUGCUGCGGAGCUGUCCACUUGCUGAAAGCUGUUGCCAGUUUCCACAGCCAGAAAGAUGAUGCAAAAAACAUCUUGUAAGCUGGAGGGACAAGAGGAAAAGGGAAGAAUCCCUCUUGUUUGUUGAACUUUAUUUUAUUUAUUUUCUUUUGGUUUGUGGAUAUUGUAAUUUUGAGCAGCAUUCGACUUUUCUGUUGGUUUGAAGAUCCACUCAGCCAGUUCAACCAGUCCUUCCCGGGCCAACUCCACGACAACUUCGCUCGGCGGUAUUUACCACUCCAAACUUCUCUGCCCAGAUGUCUGCUUCUCCUGUCUGCCGUGGCUCCUGCCUGGCCACUCGUUCCUCCGCAACUCCUGACAUCAGAGACUGAACGAUCUCCCGGCUCCAGCAUGAUCUUCGUAGGAACAACAUCCCAUUCAAAUCUACAGCUCUUAAGGAGAAUCUGUUUACUUUAUUUCUCUCCAUUCUGCAGCAUCCUUCCCGUCACAGGCGCUAUGACGUCGGCACAGAUCGUUGCUUUACAACUUGCGCCCAGUGUUGCCAAGUCUCACGACAAAACAAGCCCAACCCAUGUCUGAAUGGGUGUUUCUACAAAUUCCAACAUUCCGACUCUCAAAAAACAAGCACGAUUCAUGCUUAUUAUAAGCAGACUUGAAACACCUCGCCCCGCACCCACUGCAUCUCCACAAAGCGCGUCUACAUCCGGAAAACUGCCAAUCAAAGGCUCAUUCAGCAGUUCCUGAGCAUUCUGGCUCCAACUAUAACCUUUCAGGUUACCUACCCUCUGCAGGCGUCCAGCAGGCCCCCAUAGUGGUCCCCCCCCCCUCACUGUAGUCCAGCAGGCCCCCAUAGUGGUCCCUUCUCUGUCAAACGGUUUUCUUCCAGCUGCAGGCUUCAACAGGCCCUGCAGCCCCCUUCUAUUCCUUACCUCAAACGGUUGCCCAGCAGGGCUCUGAUUUUAAAUCCACUCUUCCGCACUUCCCAGCGGUCCUCCAAACUUAAUUUUUUUAGGUUACCCCCCCCCCCCCUCACUGCAAGCAUCCAGCAGGCCCCUGCAGUGACCUCCUGGCCACUAGGAGCGUCCAGCAGCCCCCCAUAGUGGUCCUUUCUCUGUGAAAUGCUUUUCUUCUUUCGGCUCAUCAGCAGUAUUGAGCAUUUGGAUCCAGAGACUGUUCUUACAGUUAGGAGCGGCUGCUCCCGUGAUCCAUCCCGGGGUUUCGACAUCCGCCACUGUUGUCCAACAAGCAACUGUAACCUUUCAGGUUACACCCCCCACCCUCAGUGCAGGCGUCCAGCAGGCCCCUGCAGUGAUCUCUCUGGCCACUAUGGGCAUCCAGCAGGCCCCCAUUGUGGUUCCCUCUCUUUCUAAUAUUCCUUCUACCUUUUCAGCUACAAGCUUUCAACAGGGCAACACA